CAUUGUUGAAGCAUAUUUUGCUUUAUAACCUGUUUUAAAUAAUUUAUCUAUGAAAUGCUUUAUUUUCUGUUAAGUUCUUCAAAUGAUGCAUUGGCAUGAGAAAAAUUAUGCUUAAUCUAAUGAGAUAGUACAUGGUUACUUACUGAGUAGCAAGCUCAUACCCCUCCUGUUGUUUUCUUUUAUUUAUUUCAGAUAAUUAAGGCGAUUAGGAGCAGGAAAGAGUGAAUGAAAAUUGGAGUUGAAGCAUAGUUACAGGGACUCUUAGAAGUAUCUAUGUUAAUAAGUUUGAGUUGUAAUAUUGCAAACUCAAGUAUUUGAUUUAGAUGCUCUGUAUUUGCUUCUUUAUGAUUAGUCAAUAAAUUUGAUCGGAU
rnacentral:lncRNA from 1 species